rnacentral:rRNA from 1 species
GGGAAUUUUCCGCAAUGGGCGAAAGCCUGACGGAGCAAUACCGCGUGAGGGAAGACGGCCUAUGGGUUGUAAACCUCUUUUUUCAGGGAGGAAUAUAUGACGUGUACCUGAAGAAUAAGCAUCGGCUAACUCCGUGCCAGCAGCCGCGGUAAGACGGAGGAUGCAAGUGUUAUCCGGAAUCACUGGGCGUAAAGCGUCUGUAGGUGGUUUAAUAAGUCGGCUGUUAAAUCUUGAGGCUUAACUUCAAAACUGCAGUUGAAACUAUUAAACUAGAGUAUAGUAGGGGUAAAGGGAAUUUCCAGUGGAGCGGUGAAAUGCGUAGAUAUUGGAAAGAACACCGAUGGCGAAGGCACUUUACUGGGCUAUUACUGACACUCAGAGACGAAAGCUAGGGUAGCAAAUGGGAUUAGAUACCCCAGUAGUCA